GAUCCUGGCUCAGGACGAACGCUGGCGGCGUGCUUAACACAUGCAAGUCGAACGGAGCACCCUUGACGGAGUUUUCGGACAACUGAUAGGAAUGCUUAGUGGCGGACUGGUGAGUAACGCGUGAGGAACCUGCCUUUCAGAGGGGGACAACAGUUGGAAACGACUGCUAAUACCGCAUGACAUGCAACCGGGGCAUCCCGGAUGCAUCAAAGAUUUUAUCGCUGAAAGAUGGCCUCGCG
rnacentral:rRNA from 1 species